rnacentral:rRNA from 1 species
UACAGAGGGUGCUAGCGUUAAUCGGAUUUACUGGGCGUAAAGGGCGCGUAGGCGGUCUUGUAAGUCUUGUGUGAAAUCCCUCGGCUCAACUGAGGAACUGCACGGGAUACUGCGAGACUUGAGUUCGGGAGAGGGAAGCGGAAUUCCGGGUGUAGCGGUGAAAUGCGUAGAUAUCCGGAGGAACACCGGUGGCGAAGGCGGCUUACUGGACCAUGACUGACGCUGAGGCACGAAAGCGUGGGGAGCAAACAGG